rnacentral:rRNA from 1 species
GACGAACGCUGGCGGCGUGCCUAAUACAUGCAAGUCGAACGCACUCUCGUUUAGAUUGAAGGAGCUUGCUCCUGAUUGAUAAACAUUUGAGUGAGUGGCGGACGGGUGAGUAACACGUGGGUAACCUGCCCUAAAGUGGGGGAUAACAUUUGGAAACAGAUGCUAAUACCGCAUAAAACCUAACACCGCAUGGUGUAGGGUUGAAAGAUGGUUUCGGCUAUCACUUUAGGAUGGACCCGCGGUGCAUUAGUUAGUUGGUGAGGUAAAGGCUCACCAAGACCGUGAUGCAUAGCCGACCUGAGAGGGUAAUCGGCCACACUGGGACUGAGACACGGCCCAGACUCCUACGGGAGGCAGCAGUAGGGAAUCUUCCACAAUGGACGAAAGUCUGAUGGAGCAACGCCGCGUGAGUGAAGAAGGUUUUCGGAUCGUAAAACUCUGUUGUUGGAGAAGAAUGUAUUUGAUAGUAACUGAUCAGGUAGUGACGGUAUCCAACCAGAAAGCCACGGCU